rnacentral:lncRNA from 1 species
GGGGGGGGGGGGGGAGUGAAUUCUUUCCUUUUCGCCUGUCUAAAAAUGUUAACGGCCCUUAAUUUUCUUAUUCCGGCCCUCUCCCAAACCUCACGCAUAGCAAGAGGUUUAGUGCACCAAGCUACCCUUUAAUGUGAUAUCUUUUAUGUUUUGUUUACAGAUAUUUACAAAUGGGAAAUACAAGAGUGUUUUGCACAGAGCAAUAGUAAAUAAAGAGGCCUUAAUUUUCUUAUUCCGGCCCUCUCCCAAACCUCACGCAUAGCAAGAGGUUUAGUGCACCAAGCUACCCUUUAAUGUGAUAUCUUUUAUGUUUUGUUUACAGAUAUUUACAAAUGGGAAAUACAAGAGUGUUUUGCACAGAGCAAUAGUAAAUAAAGAGGCAAGGAUAUCAAUAGGAAUAGCAAAUUGCCCAGCUAUGAAUGCUAUAGUGAGUCCAGCUGAUUCACCUUUAAUCCAAAAUGAAAGGUUACCACCACUUUAUGUUCCCAAGGAAUACAGUGAGUAUGUGGAGAUGCAACAAACUAAGCCACUGGAUGGAAAGUCUUGUCUGGAUCAAAUCAAGAUCAAUUCACCACCAUUAAAGUAAACAAAAAAAAGAAAUUAUUUCAUUUUUUUACACACGACUUGUCUCAAGAAAUAUGUACUCCUUAAAUUCAAUCAUAAUUUAAUACCAAUCAAAAGAUCGAAAAUGCUAUAAAGUUGCUUACUUUUAUUGUUAUCUAAUUAUUAUUACUCGAUAGAUAAAUUAUUUCAACAUUUUCUCUGUCAACGCUAAGUUUGCUAGCUUAGCUUCCAUUUGUCAAAUGGCAUAGCCUUUAUUGGUACACUUUUACAAGCUAA